UACAGAGGGGGCAAGCGUUGUUCGGAAUUACUGGGCGUAAAGGGCGCGUAGGCGGCCUUCUAAGUCGAACGUGAAAUCCCCGGGCUCAACCCGGGAACUGCGUCCGAUACUGGAAGGCUUGAAUCCGGGAGAGGGAUGCGGAAUUCCAGGUGUAGCGGUGAAAUGCGUAGAUAUCUGGAGGAACACCGGUGGCGAAGGCGGCCUUCUGGACAGUGACUGACGCUGAGACGCGAAAGCGUGGGGAGCAAACAGG
rnacentral:rRNA from 1 species